rnacentral:lncRNA from 1 species
GUCUUCAGCUACCAGAGUGGGUAGGGAAGGACCAUCAAGUGGGGGCAGGGCUAGGUGUGUCUGAGCUCAGACUCUCCUUGGGUGAGUCUUGCUGUGGCUGCUGUGGGGGAGGGGGGGGUGAGGUUCCCAGGUGAAUAGAGUUGUGUACCUAGGAGGAUAAUGGCUGCCUCUGCUGAGUCAUGCAGGUUGUUAGGGAAGUGAGGGAAAGCUGGCAGUCACAGGCCUCACCCAGCUCCCAUGCAAUCCAAAUGGCCAGUCUCACUCUCACCAUGCCCCCUCUAAAGCAUUGAGUCUGUUUCCAAGCAGUGGGUAAGCAGGGGUGAGAACUUGCCGCAGGCUACCCACCUCCCAGCUGUGAAAGAAAAGGGCUUUCGUUCUUCCCCCACCUGUGGAGUCUACACGCUGGAUUUGUGCCCUCCCUUGAGUUCUGGCCAGGAGGCUUCUCCACCUGUUCAAAUUGUUAUAAAGUUCAGCUGGAGACUUCCUUCUCUCCGUGGCAUUUUCCUCAUGCCUCUGGCCACCCUCCCAAAGGAUCCCUGUGAGGCCAGGCAGGAAUGGCCUGCUUGGGGACCCAGCAAGCUUCUAGGGCCUUUGCUGCUGCUUCCUCUACCCCUGUAUUUCGCUCGGCUCUCUAAAUGGACUCAGCUCCAGAUGAGGAAACGGAGAUUCACAAAAAUCAGGUCAUUUGUCUGAGGUCCGAGUACUGUGUGAUAGAGCAAAGAUUUGAACCCAGCUCUCUACUUACAGGUAAAUUGUCUUGUGAUUAUUUCCACAGAACUCUGACUUGGAUAAGCUACCUAAGAUCGGAACCCUCUGAUAAUUUGUGCUGCUAUUUUAAGAUCCAGUUCCAUUCUACAACUGGCUGAAGCAUGAAGUCAACUAAAAUAAACUGAAUUGAGUGGAACUGAACUGAACUGAAGUGAAAUAAUGUGAUUUCCAGUAAACCUGACACCUUAAGGACAGAACAUGAGCCUUGCCCAUCUUCCUCCCAGAGGUCCCAGCACAAUCACCGACUCACACAAUACUCUCAGUGCAUGAGUGAUGAAUUUCACUAACAGCGACCCAUCUCUCUACAUAAUCCACUCCGGUUUCACCAGAGCUGAGAGUAUCAUGAAUUACAUCUAUAGAUAGCUGUAAGCUAAUGACCAAAGCACAUAACUGAAUUCAAACAUAUUCUUUAUUGCAGUCAGAUGUGAGAAAACAAAAUUUAGAAGACAAGCCAGAAAGGAAAUGAAGAACAUAAAGAGCCUGAAUUCUCAUCGUCAAUUUUUCCCUGACUGACUCCGUUUUCCUCUCUUCUUUCCAUUUACCUUUCUGUUCCCAUCCCCAUCAUUUUUGUAGUGUUUAUUGAGUGUCUGCUGCAUGCCAGUCAAUGUGCUGAGUACUUUUCAUGUGUUAUACCAUUUGAUCGUCACAGCAGCACACUAUUAUAAUUAUGAAUAUGAUUCCACAUACUAUAUCUAAAAUUUAACUUAAUUUUACAUAGGAGGAAGCUGAGACUUGCCCAAGACUACUCCAUUAGUAAGAUGUGAACCAAGUGAACCAUGUCUGACUCAAACCUAACCCCUGAUUCUCUGAAUCCAUAUCACCGUAGAACUCAACAGUGAAAUAUUGGGGUAGAGAUGGAUGUACCUGCUUCUUGAGCUGAAUUCUCACCAAUCCCUCAUUUCUGGUCAUUCUUAACCUUACUCCCAGAUGUGUUUGGUCUACUGCAGCCUUCGGAUCCCUACUAGAGUUUGCCUUAGGAAUCAGCUUUCUCAGACCUGUGUCUGAGAUAAAAUGUCUGGGAUAAAAUGUCAUUUAUCCUGCUUCCUGGAUUCUGAAAUUUGAUGAUUCUGUUCUCCUCUUUCAUCUCUUCUUUCUUAAACCCUUUUUUUUAAAAAAAAAUCCUGUAACUGUCAUUUACUGGAACUUCAGAGAGAAGCAGAGGUUAAUACCUAUGUUCAAUGGAUACAGGAGAUAAAAAGAAAUUAUUUAGGCAGUUAAUGAGGGUAAGAGAGUUCUUGGCAAGGCUUCCCUUUUAACACAAGCAACCCGCCAAAUCAUUUCUUUUCUAACAAAGAGCAGCCGGUAAAAUCAAGCCACAGACACAGAUAAGCAAGCUAGAAGCUUUCACAGGUAAAUGUGGCAACUGUGCCAAUAGAAACACACUACCUAAGGGCCAGGUAUGUUCAACAUGGAGGUUCCCUCUUCCCUUUUGUGGCUACAUAAGUGGUAAAAAAGCAUGGAGCCAGCCAGGUAGAGGCCUCAUCUGCAUAAUAAAAGAUUAGGGUGAGAUGUCCAGCUUCUUCACGCCCUAUGCAAACAGCACACCUGGUCUGACUAAUCUCUUGAUCCCUAUGUAAAUGAGACACCGCCUCCUCAAGCUCCUCUAUGAAAUCCCUUGCAUUUCAGUAGGAAACCAGAAGACCCACUUGGGAGCCCCAUGCUCUCUCUGCAGGAAAGAGAGCUUUUCUUGUCUCUUUUCUCUCGCCUAUUAAACCUCAGCUCUUCAACUCACUUCUUGUGUGUCUGUGUCCUUGAUUUCCUUAGUGUGAGACAACGAACCUCAGAUAUUUACCACAGACAACGUAGCCACUUCACAAUCUUGCAAAUUUUCACCAAGUCCUUUUCAUUAUUAUGUAAGGAGUUGGAACUGACUGAUGAGGGUUUGAUUGUGAUUGCCUCUAGCUCUCCCUGAUAGCAUUUGGAUGAGCUGGACAGAUGUAGGAUUAACAAAGGUCUGUAGGGUGGAGCAAAUAUGUCUCAUUACCAAGGGUAAAAUUUCAAGUGAAGAGGCUCCCAUACUAGAGCAACCACAACAAAACAAAUAACCAUGGAUUUGGGACUGAACACUAGGAAAGAGUGAAUAUAUGUUUUUGAGGUCAGCUGUGCUGAAGGCAAGAGAAGAACAUUGCCAAGUAACUUCCAAAUGUGACAUUUUUCAACCUUGGUUUAUGACUGAAAAGCCAAGAAAGACUAAGCUAAAAUGGAAUUCAGCUUCCCAGCCUAAAUAGUGGGAGAGGUCCAAAAUACAGCUAAGGAAAAUUUUACUGGGAAAGCUAGUUGUAUCCAUUUACUCUGUUCUACACAUAUCAAUUAGAAAUUUUAAAAAGGUAAGUUUGAUCAAGCUUUUAUUCCGACAUUUGAAAA